rnacentral:rRNA from 1 species
CUGGCGGCGUGCUUCAUACAUGCAAGUCGAACGAGAAUCUGGCUUCGGUCAGAGGAAAGUGGCGGACGGGUGAGUAAUGUGUAGAGAAUCUGCCCUUUAGUGGGGGACAACAGUUGGAAACGACUGCUAAUACCCCAUAUGCGCGUAGCUGAGAUGCUAUUCGUGAAAACUCCGGUGCUAAAGGAUGAGUCUGCAUCUGAUUAGCUAGUUGGCGGUGUAAUGGACCACCAAGGCGACGAUCAGUAGCUGGUUUGAGAGGAUGAUCAGCCACAAUGGGACUGAGACACGGCCCAUACUCCUACGGGAGGCAGCAGUAGGGAAUUUUGCGCAAUGGGGGAAACCCUGACGGCCAGCAACGCCGCGUGAUUGAAUAAGCCCUUCGGGGUGUAAAGAUCUGUCAGUAGGGACGAAACUUGACGGUACCUACAGAGGAAGCAUCGGCUAACUCCGUGCCAGCCGCGGC